UGCAAUUGCACGUCCAGUGCUCCACGCUCUUUCUUGAUUUCUUCUAUGGACUUCCAAGGAAAGAACAUCUCGAGAGAACAACUUCCACUGGACUUUUCCAGAUUUGCAAGUGUAGCCAGAAGUCUUCAGAGUGAAGGAAAAUGUGUAAUGGAAUACAACCUCAGCAGUGCCAUCCUCUAUUACAAAAAGGAAGUUUAACAUAUUAUCAAGAACCUGGAACAAAACGUUAAAAACAGGAAGUGUUUAAUGGAGAAAGAAAAUUUGGGAAUUUGUCAGGCAAAUGUGGCCCAGCUUUAGUUUCCACCACUACAGUUCCAUGAAUUCAAAGUUCAGUUCUCUAUUCUGGCACAACUGCAUUGUUGUUAAGGUACCAUCCCCCCAUCUUAUUCUCAGAGUUACUUUUCUUGGCAUUGACUCCCUUCAGACCACCGAUAUGGCAAAAAGAAAGCUGUUUGUCUUGCUCCAUCAUUAAAGUCAAGAAUAACCACUUUA